rnacentral:rRNA from 1 species
AGAGUUUGAUUCUGGCUCAGAACGAACGCUGGCGGCGUGGAUAAGACAUGCAAGUCGAACGGGAGAAUUGCUAGCUUGCUAAUAAUUCUCUAGUGGCGCACGGGUGAGUAACACGUGAGUAACCUGCCUCUUAGUGGGGGAUAGCCCUGGGAAACCGGGAUUAAUACCGCAUACGAUUGAAAGAUCAAAGCAGCAAUGCGCUAGGAGAUGGGCUCGCGGCCUAUUAGUUAGUUGGUGAGGUAACGGCUCACCAAGGCGAUGACGGGUAGCCGGUCUGAGAGGAUGUCCGGCCACACUGGAACUGAGACACGGUCCAGACACCUACGGGUGGCAGCAGUCGAGAAUCAUUCACAAUGGGGGCAACCCUGAUGGUGCGACGCCGCGUGGGGGAAUGAAGGUCUUCGGAUUGUAAACCCCUGUCAUGUGGGAGCAAAUUAAAAAGAUAGUACCACAAGAGGAAGAGACGGCUAACUCUGUGCCAGCAGCCGCGGUAAUACAGAGGUCUCAAGCGUUGUUCGGAAUCACUGGGCGUAAAGCGUGCGUAGGCUGUUUCGUAAGUCGUGUGUGAAAGGCAGGGGCUCAACCCCUGGAUUGCACAUGAUACUGCGAGACUAGAGUAAUGGAGGGGGAACCGGAAUUCUCGGUGUAGCAGUGAAAUGCGUAGAUAUCGAGAGGAACACUCGUGGCGAAGGCGGGUUCCUGGACAUUAACUGACGCUGAGGCACGAAGGCCAGGGGAGCGAAAGGGAUUAGAUACCCCUGUAGUCCUGGCAGUAAACGGUGCACGCUUGGUGUGCGGGGAAUCGACCCCCUGCGUGCCGGAGCUAACGCGUUAAGCGUGCCGCCUGGGGAGUACGGUCGCAAGAUUAAAACUCAAAGAAAUUGACGGGGACCCGCACAAGCGGUGGAGUAUGUGGCUUAAUUCGAUGCAACGCGAAGAACCUUACCUGGGCUUGACAUGUAAUGAACAACAUGUGAAAGCAUGCGACUCUUCGGAGGCGUUACACAGGUGCUGCAUGGCCGUCGUCAGCUCGUGUCGUGAGAUGUUUGGUUAAGUCCAGCAACGAGCGCAACCCCUGUUGCCAGUUACCAUCGAGUAAUGUCGGGGACUCUGGCGAGACUGCCCAGAUCAACUGGGAGGAAGGUGGGGACGACGUCAGGUCAGUAUGGCCCUUAUGCCCAGGGCUGCACACGUACUACAAUGCCCAGU